rnacentral:rRNA from 1 species
CCUACGGGUGGCUGCAGUGGGGAAUAUUGGACAAUGGGGGGAACCCUGAUCCAGCCAUGCCGCGUGUGUGAAGAAGGCCCUCGGGUUGUAAAGCACUUUCAGUGAGGAAGAACGCCUGGUGGUUAAUACCCAUCAGGAAAGACAUCACUCACAGAAGAAGCACCGGUUAACUCCGUGCCAGCAGCCGCGGUAAUACGGAGGGUGCGAGCGUUAAUCGGAAUUACUGGGCGUAAAGCGCGCGUAGGUGGCUUGAUAAGCCGGUUGUGAAAGCCCCGGGCUCAACCUGGGAACGGCAUCCGGAACUGUCAAGCUAGAGUGCAGGAGAGGAAGGUAGAAUUCCCGGUGUAGCGGUGAAAUGCGUAGAGAUCGGGAGGAAUACCAGUGGCGAAGGCGGCCUUCUGGACUGACACUGACACUGAGGUGCGAAAGCGUGGGUAGCAAACAGGAUUAGAUACCCCUGUAGUC